rnacentral:rRNA from 1 species
CCUACGGGAGGCAGCAGUGGGGAAUCUUGCGCAAUGGGCGAAAGCCUGACGCAGCAACGCCGCGUGCGGGAAGAAGGCUUUCGGGCUGUAAACCGCUUUCAGCAGGAACGAAAAUGACGGUACCUGCAGAAGAAGGAGCGGCCAACUAUGUGCCAGCAGCCGCGGUGAUACAUAGGCUUCAAGCGUUGUCCGGAUUUAUUGGGCGUAAAGAGUUCGUAGGCGGUCGAGUAAGUCGGGUGUGAAAAUUCUGGGCUCAACCCAGAGACGCCACCCGAUACUGCUUGACUUGAGUUCGAUAGGGGAGUGGGGAAUUCCUAGUGUAGCGGUGAAAUGCGCAGAUAUUAGGAGGAACACCGGUGGCGAAGGCGCCACUCUGGAUCGAUACUGACGCUGAGGAACGAAAGCAUGGGUAGCAAACAGGAUUAGAUACCCUGGUAGUCCAUGCCGUAAACGGUGGGCACUAGGUGUGGGUUUCUAUUAACGAAAUCCGCGCCGUCGCUAACGCAUUAAGUGCCCCGCCUGGGGAGUACGGUCGCAAGCUAAAACCCCAAAUGAAUUGACGGCUGAGAGNGCGAGCGACGACGAGGGAGAGG